GGGAAUGUGGCUUAGUGGUAGAGUACUUGCCUAGCAUACAUGAAGCCCUGGGUUCGAUUCCUCAGUGCCA
rnacentral:tRNA from 1 species